rnacentral:rRNA from 1 species
AUUGAACGCUGGCGGCAUGCUUUACACAUGCAAGUCGAACGGCAGCGCGGGGCAACCUGGCGGCGAGUGGCGAACGGGUGAGUAAUAUAUCGGAACGUACCCAAGAGUGGGGGAUAACGUAGCGAAAGUUACGCUAAUACCGCAUACGAUCUACGGAUGAAAGUGGGGGAUCGCAAGACCUCAUGCUCCUGGAGCGGCCGAUAUCUGAUUAGCUAGUUGGUGAGGUAAAGGCUCACCAAGGCGACGAUCAGUAGCUGGUCUGAGAGGACGACCAGCCACACUGGAACUGAGACACGGUCCAGACUCCUACGGGAGGCAGCAGUGGGGAAUUUUGGACAAUGGGCGCAAGCCUGAUCCAGCAAUGCCGCGUGAGUGAAGAAGGCCUUCGGGUUGUAAAGCUCUUUUGUCAGGGAAGAAACGGUAGAGGCUAAUAUCCUUUGCUAAUGACGGUACCUGAAGAAUAAGCACCGGCUAACUACGUGCCAGCAGCCGCGGUAAUACGUAGGGUGCAAGCGUUAAUCGGAAUUACUGGGCGUAAAGCGUGCGCAGGCGGUUUUGUAAGUCUGUCGUGAAAGCCCCGGGCUCAACCUGGGAAUUGCGAUGGAGACUGCAAGGCUUGAAUCUGGCAGAGGGGGGUAGAAUUCCACGUGUAGCAGUGAAAUGCGUAGAGAUGUGGAGGAACACCGAUGGCGAAGGCAGCCCCCUGGGUCAAGAUUGACGCUCAUGCACGAAAGCGUGGGGAGCAAACAGGAUUAGAUACCCUGGUAGUCCACGCCCUAAACGAUGUCUACUAGUUGUCGGGUUUUAAUUAACUUGGUAACGCAGCUAACGCGUGAAGUAGACCGCCUGGGGAGUACGGUCGCAAGAUUAAAACUCAAAGGAAUUGACGGGGACCCGCACAAGCGGUGGAUGAUGUGGAUUAAUUCGAUGCAACGCGAAAAACCUUACCUACCCUUGACAUGUCAGGAAGUCCGGAGAGAUCUGGAUGUGCCCGAAAGGGAACCUGAACACAGGUGCUGCAUGGCUGUCGUCAGCUCGUGUCGUGAGAUGUUGGGUUAAGUCCCGCAACGAGCGCAACCCUUGUCAUUAGUUGCUACGCAAGAGCACUCUAAUGAGACUGCCGGUGACAAACCGGAGGAAGGUGGGGAUGACGUCAAGUCCUCAUGGCCCUUAUGGGUAGGGCUUCACACGUCAUACAAUGGUACAUACAGAGGGCCGCCAACCCGCGAGGGGGAGCUAAUCCCAGAAAGUGUAUCGUAGUCCGGAUCGCAGUCUGCAACUCGACUGCGUGAAGUUGGAAUCGCUAGUAAUCGCGGAUCAGCAUGUCGCGGUGAAUACGUUCCCGGGUCU